rnacentral:rRNA from 1 species
UACGGAGGGUGCAAGCGUUGUUCGGAAUCACUGGGCGUAAAGGGCGUGUAGGCGGUCCGCUAAGUCUGAUGUGAAAGCCCGAGGCUUACCCUCGGAAGUGCAUUGGAGACUGGCGGACUGGAGUCCCGGAGAGGAGGGUGGAAUUCUCGGUGUAGAGGUGAAAUUCGUAGAUAUCGAGAGGAACACCGGUGGCGAAGGCGGCCAACUGGACGAAUACUGACGCUGAGACUCGAAAGCGUGGGGAGCAAACAGG